UAAUAAUUUAUAUAGAGAUACUUACCAUCAAUUGAAGUCUUUGGCCACAUUGCAUAAUUAGUUUUGCAGAAUAAAUCAACGAUAUCGUUUGUACUGACACUAAGGGAGCUACCAUUUGAUUUUUAUGGGGGGCUAGGAUGAAAUUUGAAAAAAAUAGGCAGGACAGGAGUUUUGAGUAAAAAAAAGGCAGGAUGAGAUGCUUGCAAAAAAAAAGUCAGGACGACAAUUUAGGUAAAAAAAAGUCAGGAUAAACUAAAAAAAAAGGCAGGACCGAACAGAGUGAAAAAUAAAAAGGUAGGACACAGAUUACAGCUAAAAAAAAAUACAGGAUACAAUUUUUCAUCCUAGCCCCCCCCCCCCCCCCCAUAAAAAUCAAAUGGUAGCUCCCUAAAAGUCUUGUUGUUGUAGUUGUCUCCCUUUGUGUGUAUGGCGAUCUUUUGGUGUCAAUAUCUGCAAGCCAAAAUCCACAAAUUGGACCCCCCGAAUUGACCCCUUUAUACAUUUUUGAUUCUCAAAGACUUUUUAUAUGUUUUAUAUGGCAGUCAUCUGACAACAUUAAAGCAAUAAUAUAUUCUGUUGCAAUUAGUUUAACGUUUUUCAUAGAUUGCCU
rnacentral:lncRNA from 1 species